rnacentral:rRNA from 1 species
GACGAACGCUGGCGGCGUGCCUAAUACAUGCAAGUCGAGCGAAUCUUGAGGUGCUUGCACCUCUUGGUUAGCGGCGGACGGGUGAGUAACACGUGGGCAACCUGCCUGUAAGACUGGGAUAACACCGGGAAACCGGUGCUAAUACCGGAUAAUCCUUUUUCUCUCAUGAGGAGAAGCUGAAAGUCGGUUUACGCUGACACUUACAGAUGGGCCCGCGGCGCAUUAGCUAGUUGGUGAGGUAACGGCUCACCAAGGCGACGAUGCGUAGCCGACCUGA